AGGCAGCAGUGGGGAAUAUUGCACAAUGGGCGGAAGCCUGAUGCAGCAACGCCGCGUGCGGGAUGACGGCCUUCGGGUGUAAACCGCUUUCGCCUGUGACGAAGCGUGAGUGACGGUAAUGGGUAAAGAAGCACCGGCUAACUACGUGCCAGCAGCCGCGGUAAU
rnacentral:rRNA from 1 species